AUUCUGGUGUUGAUGGCACCGGAGAAUGGAGCUCCGGCCAGCCCGAAGGUGAGGAAUGCCCGAACACCCUGGGCCCGAUCUUUAUCUUGAUUGCGAAGACAAUGUUUCCUGACCACUUGUGAA
rnacentral:lncRNA from 1 species